GGACUACAGGCAUGAGCCACCGCAACCGGCUGGCAAUUACUUUUUAACCUAGAGUGUUGAAAUAUACCUGGGGGAUUUAUUUUAAUCAGUUAUGGCAAGACUCCCAGACAUGCAAAUGAUCUUCAUGAAGGAAAAAGUUUAUACUUAUAGAUUCCUGGAAACAGGAGACAUGGCCCACCACACACGGGUACACCAGUAACCUCAGGAAGCACAGGGAGUGAGGGUGAGCAAGGUCCCCGCCUCUACUGGGGUUUCUGAGGGAAGGAAUGGGUGAGGCAUGGCAGGUACUCUGAGCAAAUAUAGAUUUGAAUAGUUUUGGUAAAUCAUAGGGAUGGUUUCUAGUUGUCCAGUAUUUGGCCCUGGGGUGAUUUAGGGCAGGCAGGGAGAGAUUGGCUUAUUGUGUGAGUUUGAAAAGGAGAUGGUUGGGGUGUGGGCUGUGGAUUGGUUGGUUUGUAUUUCAAAGAUGUGCUUGUAGGGGAGUUAUUCGCUGUCUCUAGGAAAUAGCUAGCCCUGGGAAGGGAGGUCUCCAGGAUUAAGGCCCCAAAUGCCAGAGCAUCAGGAAUACGGAAAAUAAGAAAAUAUAAUAAAUACACCCAGCAAUUCCAUUUCUAGUAAAUUUUAUUAAAAAUAUGCUAUUCAUUUUCCUAGUCUAUUUCUCCCAUCCUGCUUGGUGACUUUCUCAUAUAUUUCUCUAGCUCUGUAAAUAUCUCAAUGUAUUCUACCCCAGCCUUGCUCUCCCAGAAUGACCUUGUUUGCCUCCUUCACAAACAAAAUACAAGCAGUUAAAAGACAGUAUCCACACCCUCCUGUCUACCAGCAAUCACACCUCCUUUCUCUGUCUCUUGCUGGAAAUUGAACCGUCCAUGCCAAGGCUGGCCUGUGUCCCAGCUUCCAUCCUCUUAGGCCAACUCAAGGACUUUCCUGACAAUUCCCUCUCCCUUUCCUGCAUGCUCUGGUCUGAAUGCUGGUGUCCCCCAACCCCAUAUUCAAGUAUUGAAAUCCUAACCCCAAAGGUGAGGAUAUUAGGAGUUGGGGCCUUUAGGAGGUGAUGCGGUCUUGAGGGUGGAACCCCCAUGACUGGGAAUAGCACCCUUACAGUAGAAGUCACAGAGAGCUGUCUCACUCCUUCCACCCUGUGAGGACACAACAAAGAAGGCACCCUCUGUUGAACCAGAAAGUGAACCCUCGCCAGCCACCAAAGCUGCUGAUGCCUUGAUCUGGGACUUCCCAGCCUCCAG
rnacentral:lncRNA from 10 species